GCCCGGAUAGCUCAACAGGAGCCCGGAUAACUCGGUAGAGCAUCAGACUUUUAAUCUGAGGGUCCAGGGUUCAAGUCCCUGUUGGGGCG